rnacentral:lncRNA from 1 species
AUAUUCAAACUAACAUAUUUUUUUCUUUUUGGCCAUAAAUUGGAUGGCAUUUCAUCGAUAUCAUACCAAUCUGGUGUCAAACUAUUUACCGCAACGGUACAUGGCUCACCAACUAAGUCAACAUAAACCUUAUGUGUCAGGUCUCCCAAAACAUUAACCAUCUACACAAAUUGAUAUUUCCAUCUUGCCGCAGAAGUUAAGAGCAAUAGAAGAGAACUCCUAACCUUCAACAAUGACUCUAGUCCAUCAGAUGUUCUCUUAUUUCUAAUCCUCCUCAAAACCCAAAAGAUGAAAAGUGUUGCUGUACUCCAUAGCUACUUUUUCUUCCUUACAAUGAAACUCGAGCUCCACCCUACUACUAUUUAGGACAAACCCAAUAGAUCUUAAAGGUUGUAAAUAUCGAGGUCUAAAGUUCUGCAUCACACAAUUCAAUAGAAUGUAAUCCACCUCCUCGCAUGCGUUUUGCACAUGCAACACUAGCUCACCAUGAUAUAUUCUAUUUUUCUCAAACUGCCUACAGUCGGAAUAGCUUCCCAAGCGGCAAACAUACAAAAAAAAACUAAGUGUUUUAAGUUUCCAGGAAUUCAAUAUAUCCUUCCACAUGAGGCUCCACUCCCCACCAAUAAAGAAACAUCUAUAAUAGGACCUCACUUAAGUGUUUCGACGAGAACCUUUCCAAAUCAACACUAUCUACCCAAACUAUGUAAAGCCGUAUAUAAGAACGAUUCAACUCCGAAGCAUGUAAGGGCUUCCUAAAAGAGAUGUCUAUUCCUUCCCGCCUUAAAGUCUCGGCUACGAGUGUUCAAUGGGGAAAAACGAGGAAAAAUAACUAAAAAUCCAACAAAUCUACAAAAAGAAACCAGCAUAUACUUUGGGUAGGUUUGGUUUGGAAUUACAUUUGGAAAAAACAAAAACUAUGUGAUUUGAUUUGUUAUUAUACCAAAAAAGAAAACGAACAAACCCGACUAUAUACCUAAUGAUAAGAAUGGACCGUGAGCCUAACUCAACCCCAAAA